UUUCAAUAUCAAUUGUACUGGAAAUCCAGUUCACAGUUCUCUCAAACAUGUAAAAUCAAAGCCUUUGAUCAUUUUCAGCUGUCAAUUUUGUCAGUUUCAGCUACUUUGACAUCCCUGUAAAAAUAAAUCGGCAGUUGUUGUGUGGUACAUUUCUGGUGAUGACUGACGAUAACUUUUCCACCAACAAAGCUCACUUUUUAAUUUUUCUACUAAAUUUAUUUCACGGAAAUGACGAAUAUUUAGUUUAUUUUUACUCGUCCGUGCCCUCCGUGGAUGCUAAGGGCUGUCACUAGGUGGCUAAAUAUGUCUGUGUGUUUAGGGAUUUAACUAUUCAGCUAUCUAGAGGAAAGUAGGGGCAGGGGUGGGGGUCAUCAAAUUUCGACAUUCAGAUAACACAUUCCAUUUCUAUUACGAUAUUUCUUUUUAUUCGAGACGCUGUCGGAGAAGGUUACCUUAGCCAUUGUCUCAUGGAGGGGCACUUUUGUUUAAGACUUCGUUUUUUAAUUGAGUUUUUAUAUUUCUAUCAACAGCCUGGUGAAGUCUGAGCUUCUUCAUUGAAAUACGUCCAUGUGUUCGCUGCCUUGAAGAGGGUCUAUUUUGCAAGACAAAUGAGAUGAAAAGAGGAAACUUGAAAAGGGUUCCUCGUUCAGUUAGAGCUGUUCAUGGCGUUGUCUGGUGUGCAGUGGUUUUGCAUUCAUUAAGUCGAGAGAUGCCCUGAGGUGGAUGAUCAACUGCUGAGACUUUUCUCGCAUUGUCUUUUUCAAUGGCGAUGCUGUCCAAGAAGGUUUAGCUUGGCCAUUGCAGGCAACUUUCUCUGUUGACAAUGUUCAUCUUAAAAAUGGGACAAAGCACCUGAUGCUAGCAACAUCGCAAUCUUGUUCCACUGAUGACACCAUCUUCUUUGGACAUCGUGGGAUACUGUCAGUCAAAUUGUUCGAAAUCAAUGUGGUCAACUCAACUUCAACAUUCUUCUUCACAAAUAUUUUGAAGGAUUAAUGGCUUGGUGAGGUUCAGCUUUUUCAUGGCAGUCAAAUGUCCACAUGGAAUUGUUGCAGCUGUGAAGGUCGUAGUGAGCUGUUGCGUGAUGACCAUGUGCUGGUGUGGGAAGUGCUGCAUGCUGUCUGGUGUUGGUUUCCAUCGUCAGUUAGAUGUAGAGCUAAUUAUGUUGUUGCUCUUUGGUGUGCAGUUCAUGUUCAGGUGCUUUUGUUGCAGCCAGCUGGUGAAAGAGGUUAAAGGUGUGUAGAGCUGUAGCUUAUUGUAGCAGUCAACAAGGUGUUAUUCUGAAGUGCAAUAUCAAUUAAGACAUUCUGAAAUGAUUUGGUGACAAUGUGAUAAACAAUAUGCUGAAUGGAGUCUGCUGUUUUUGUUAUCAAGGAGUGGAGAAGUAAGACUUGAAGCAAGGCUUCAAGAAAAUGAAAUGGUCUCGGCGUAAAUGUACAGUCGCUUUGCAGUCUCAAUCCUGUUCAAGCUGUUGCUAUCCUGAAUUAUGCUGGAGUUUUGGAAUUAGCUGAUCCUGAAGUUGGGUUGCUGGUGUUAUCCUGAAGAAGCUGAUGUUGAUGUUAUUGAGUAAGUGUGCCAGUUCAGUUCUGGUUGUUUAAAAUUAUAUCCAUGUUGUAGAUUUGUUAUCAACUAAGACAUGUUGCAACCUGUUGUUAAUUUAAACAGCGCGUCUUCCUGAAAUAUCCUCACCCAUACGUUUUUAAAUAAUUCUUAAGUAAUGGGAUGUCAAAACUUGCAAUAUUUUCCUUGUGCAUUGUUAAAUCUGAUAUUUUUCAUGAGUAUGUGAAAUUUUGAAACAAAUAAAAUUUAAACCAAU
rnacentral:lncRNA from 1 species